rnacentral:piRNA from 1 species
CUAGAUGUGGCUGCCGCAC